CGGGGUGAGUAAUGUCUGGGAAACUGCCUGAUGGAGGGGGAUGACUACUGGAAACGGUAGCUAAUACCGCAUAACGUCGCAAGACCAAAGAGGGGGACCUUCGGGCCUCUUGCCAUCGGAUGUGCCCAGAUGGGAUUAGCUAGUAGGUGGGGUAACGGCUCACCUAGGCGACGAUCCCUAGCUGGUCUGAGAGGAUGACCAGCCACACUGGAACUGAGACACGGUCCAG
rnacentral:rRNA from 1 species